rnacentral:piRNA from 1 species
UUCUGUAGUUCUCUGAAUGUUGAUUGC